UGCAUAUUCAAUAAGCGGAGGAAAAGAAACCAACCGGGAUUACCUCAGUAACGGCGAGUGAAGCGGUAACAGCUCAAAUUUGAAAUCUGGCUCUUCCGGAGUCCGAGUUGUAAUUUGUAGAAGAUGCUUUGGGAGGUAGGGCCGGCCUAAGUUCCUUGGAACAGGACAUCAGAGAGGGUGAGAAUCCCGUAUGUGGCCGUGGCCUACGCCCGUGUAAAGCUCUUUCGACGAGUCGAGUUGUUUGGGAAUGCAGCUCAAAAUGGGUGGUAAAUUUCAUCUAAAGCUAAAUAUUGGCCAGAGACCGAUAGCGCACAAGUAGAGUGAUCGAAAGAUGAAAAGCACUUUGGAAAGAGAGUUAAACAGUACGUGAAAUUGUUGAAAGGGAAGCGCUUGCAACCAGACUUGGGCGUCGUCGAUCAUCCGGGGUUCUCCUCGGUGCACUCGACGAGGCACAGGCCAGCAUCGGUUUGGAUGGUUGGAGAAAGGCCCUAGGAACGUAGCUCUCUUCGGGGAGUGUUAUAGCCUAGAGCGCAAUGCAGCCCAUCCGGACCGAGGACCGCGCCUUUGGCUAGGAUGCUGGCGUAAUGGUUGCAAGCGACCCGUCUUAACACCGGACCAGAA
rnacentral:rRNA from 1 species